rnacentral:rRNA from 1 species
AUUGAACGCUGGCGGCAGGCCUAACACAUGCAAGUCGAGCGGAUGAAGGGAGCUUGCUCCUGGCUUCAGCGGCGGACGGGUGAGUAAUGCCUAGGAAUCUGCCUGGUAGUGGGGGAUAACGUCCGGAAACGGGCGCUAAUACCGCAUACGUCCUGAGGGAGAAAGUGGGGGAUCUUCGGACCUCACGCUAUCAGAUGAGCCUAGGUCGGAUUAGCUAGUUGGUGGGGUAAAGGCUUACCAAGGCGACGAUCCGUAACUGGUCUGAGAGGAUGAUCAGUCACACUGGAACUGAGACACGGUCCAGACUCCUACGGGAGGCAGCAGUAGGGAAUAUUGGACAAUGGGCGAAAGCCUGAUCCAGCCAUGCCGCGUGUGUGAAGAAGGUCUUCGGAUUGUAAAGCACUUUUAGUUGGGGGGAAGGGCAGUAAGUGAAUACCUUGCUGUUUUGACGUUACCAACAGAAUAAGCACCGGCUAACUUCGUG